rnacentral:misc_RNA from 1 species
GAUGAAGAACGUAGUGAAAUGCGAUAAGUAAUGCGAAUUGCAGAAUUCCAGUGAGUCAUCGAAUCUUUGAACGCACAUUGCGCCCCCUGGUAUUCCGGGGGGCAUGCCUGUCCGAGCGUCAUUGCUGCCCUCAAGCACGGCUUGUGUGUUGGGCCUCCGUCCUCCUCCCGGGGGACGGGCCCGAAAGGCAGCGGCGGCACCGCGUCCGGUCCUCGAGCGUAUGGGGCUUCGUCACCCGCUCUUGUAGGCCCGGCCGGCGCUUGCCGACACAUCAAUCUUUUUUCCAGGUUGACCUCGGAUCAGGUAGGGAUACCCGCUGAACUUAAGCAUAUCAAUAAGCGGAGGA